AACGCACAUAGCGCUCUCUGGUAUUCCGGGGAGCAUGCCUGUUUGAGUAUCUGUUUACCCUCAACCUUGUAUUCUUUUGAGAAGCAACGUUGGAGUUGAGUCGUGCCUUUUCAUGAAAAAGAGAAGUCUGGCUUGAAAACAAGUGUCGAGCAAAGCUUUUGGGGCAAAACGUAAUUGAAUGAGAAUUUCUCAGCCUUUUCGUCCUGUCUUUUAACAAGGUUUUACCACUCACACCCGCUUUUUUGAAGCAAUAGAGCGUAGCUCUUAACUUAGGUCUCAAAUCAGGUAGGAGGACCCGCUGAACUUAA
rnacentral:misc_RNA from 1 species